rnacentral:rRNA from 1 species
CCUACGGGUGACAGCAGUCGAGAAUCAUUCACAAUGGGGGAAACCCUGAUGGUGCGACGCCGCGUGGGGGAAUGAAGGUCUUCGGAUUGUAAACCCCUGUCAUGUGGGAGCAAAUUAAAAAGAUAGUACCACAAGAGGAAGAGACGGCUAACUCUGUGCCAGCAGCCGCGGUACUACAGAGGUCUCAAGCGUUGGUCGGAAUCACUGGGCGUAAAGCGUGCGUAGGCUGUUUCGUAAGUCGUGUGUGAAAGGCGCGGGCUCAACCCGCGGACGGCACAUGAUACUGCGAGACUAGAGUAAUGGAGGGGGAACCGGAAUUCUCGGUGUAGCAGUGAAAUGCGUAGAUAUCGGGAGGAACACUCGUGGCGAAGGCGGGUUCCUGGACAUUAACUGACGCUGAGGCACGAAGGCCAGGGGAGCGAAAGGGAUUAGAUACCCCAGUAGUC